AAUAGAUACCCGGGUAGUCCACGCCGUAAACGAUGUCGACUUGGAGGUUGUUCCCUUGAGGAGUGGCUUCCGGAGCUAACGCGUUAAGUCGACCGCCUGGGGAGUACGGCCGCAAGGUUAAAACUCAAAUGAAUUGACGGGGGGCCCGCACAAGCGGUGGAGCAUGUGGUUUAAUUCGAUGCAACGCGAAGAACCUUACCUACUCUUGACAUCCAGAGAACUUAGCAGAGAUGCUUUGGUGCCUUCGGGAACUCUGAGACAGGUGCUGCAUGGCUGUCGUCAGCUCGUGUUGUGAAAUGUUGGGUUAAGUCCCGCAACGAGCGCAACCCUUAUCCUUUGUUGCCAGCGGUUCGGCCGGGAACUCAAAGGAGACUGCCAGUGAUAAACUGGAGGAAGGUGGGGAUGACGUCAAGUCAUCAUGGCCCUUACGAGUAGGGCUACACACGUGCUACAAUGGCGUAUACAAAGAGAAGCGACCUCGCGAGAGCAAGCGGACCUCAUAAAGUACGUCGUAGUCCGGAUUAGAGU
rnacentral:rRNA from 1 species